UGCCUGAGGGGGCGGCCGUGGCGAGGGGGCGGCGGUGUGGGGGGAUCGCGGCGCUGCCCCAGUGGGAGCCUCGGGAACGGGGUCUGCCCCCUCCCAACUGAGAACCACAGCACGGGCCAGGCUGGAAGGGACCACAGAGGGUCAUCUGGUGCAACCUCCCUGCUCAAGCAGGAUUAUCCCAGAGCACAGCAUUGCGUCUGAAUACCUCCAGCGAGGAAGACUCCACACCCUCUCUGGGCAACCUGUUCCGUUGGGCUUCCACAGCUGUGUGAAAUCCACUCCUCCCUCUGGCCCAGCAUGGAAAGGAAGGCAAGCCAAAGGAAGAAUGACCCAAACCAAGCUGCUGAAGGGCUACUAAUGUGCACAUAUGGUCUGUCUUGACAGCACUCUUCCCACUGACCAUAAAGGUACCUGGGAUGGCCUCAUUAUUCUAAAAUUAGAUCUAAGACAUGUUUUAAUGGACAACAUGGAGUGGGAAGCUGAGAAAUAAUGCUUCAGAUUAACAUCAUGAACAUCCUCACGCAGCCAUGCUGAGCCCAAAAUAGGAGCAUGUAAUUGUUCACAAGUAUUACAGUCAUGGAGCAGAACAAAAUGUUACUAAUAAAGUGUUCAGAUAAUGUGUGUUUCCUUAAGCAAGUAAUUAAGCCUGGGCCAGGACAUCAGAACAGUCCUGACUGCUAAAAUCUUUUGCUGCCAUAAGCUCCACACAUAGAAACAACAUUCUUGUGGAAUCUUUCAGCUAUCUGGUAGGUGUGAUCUCAGCUGAAUAACACCUACAGGGAGAGACAAAUCAUGCCCCUUCUUCUGGCCACCCCAAACUACAGCUCAUGAGCCACAACUCUUACCUAGGAAAGUGCCAAUGAAAAACACUUUCAAUGGCACAUUGAUUACAGGAGAUGUUAUAUUGAUAAACCAAUUGGGAAGAAAAGGUGUUAUUCUCAAAAAUAUUAUGUAGUUAAUGAGGUGUUCUCUGUGUCGUUCAACCUGCCAAAACAAAAACAACAAAAAAAUUAGUAAAGAAAAUCCCUGCCUUGAAAAUACAAAAGGAUUUUACUA